AGGAGCAGUCUGAGACCUACACGACGUCGGAUGAUUAACUCGUUUGGUACACGACCAAAUCUCGAGCUCUCUUUGUGAUUUUUUUGUACUUCUAGUGAUCGCUAACCUUCCUCAGCAGAUAUUCACUCUCACCACCUCCCCAGCCAUAACCUAAGGAUUUUUACCUACCUCGUCUCGUUCUGCUCUGCCAGCCGGCUCUCCCACUCGCUCUCAGCCCCCGCCUGCCUCGCUCAUCGUCUUGAAAUAUUAUCUCCAUUACUCGCCUUCAAGAUCUGGACCCUGCUUCAGCUCCUCUCCACCUCAGGCCUGACCCACUCCCUCCUCAGCAUCUACGGAUCUCCUCUCUAAAAUUCUGCCCUUUAACGUCAGAGCUUCCUCGAGAGUGACUCUCCGUUCUCGUCAUUGUUUAAUAAAACAUUUUUUUCUUA